CUGUAAUCUUGACAUUGUAUCUAGUUUAGAAGUUUGCACGUGUGUAUCCUCUACGCAUGUAGUUAGUUGAAGACCAGCAAUGUGUUACGGCGAGGCCGGCAGCGUUCCAGCUGGUGCACAUGGCGAGAUGCCAAGUUGCCGUUGUGUGAUGCAGCAGCAUGGUGAGAUGCCGAGGUCCUGUGCGAUGCAGUACCACUGCGAGAAGCUGAAGGAUGUGAAGGAUGUGAAGGUGCGGCCUACAUCAAGCUGUUGGCCGAGUGACUCGGUCCAGGGGGUUAGUUAGUGCAUGCAUGAGUUGUUUGCAAGCUAGCUGUGCGUGUGCAUGUUGGCCAGGUCGUGGUGCUGUUAGUGGGCUAGUGCGUGAGUGGUGGUGCUAGUGGUUAGUGCAGAGUUCAGGUCGAGCCCUAUUUAAGAGAUGUACGUAUGUUUGUUUUAGCUAACGAGAAAGAGAGAAAUGUAGUACAUGUGUGUUCACCGGGAGAGAAGGCAAAGCUAGUUUUCUCCUUGGUGAAGUGUGUGUACGGGUGUGUUUCUUCCACAGCGUGUGUUCUUGUGAGAGAAACAAAGAAAGAUGAGAGUCAGAGGUAGAAGAAGAGAGGGGCUGCGAGAUGCAGCCCCAACAUUUGGUAUCAGAGCCUCAAGAUCCGAGGAGGUGGCGGCGGCUCGGCGGGCUUCAUGCGAGGUGGAGGCCGAGGGCGCAAGAAGGAGGCUGUUGGCGGUGCGAUGCCGCUAGCAGCUGGUCGUGGCGUGAUGCCGCUAGGAGGUGAAGGUCGCUGGCGGUGUGAUGCUGCUAGCAGCCCAGCGCGGUGCGAUGCUGCGAGAAGGAGCCGAGGUGUGAUGCCUCCACGAGACGACGGCGGCGCGACGCUGCCGUGUGUCACCGGCGGCGGUGUGAUGCUGCCACGAGGAGACGACGGUGUGAUGCCGUUGCGCGGCGACGAUGGUGCGAUGCCGUCAUCACGAGUAGAGUCGGCGCGAGGCCGGCAACGGUGGUGCGAUGCCAUCGUUGUCAUGAAGAGUUGGUGUGAAGCCAACAACUGUUGCGGUGAGAUGCCGCGGCAAGACGUCGUGAUGGCCAGCGUUGCGACAGCAUCGUCAAUGAAAAGAUGUGUGCAUUAGUUGAAGACCAGCAAUGUGUUACGGCGAGGCCGGCAGCGUUCCAGCUGGUGCACAUGGCGAGAUGCCAAGUUGCCGUUGUGUGAUGCAGCAGCAUGGUGAGAUGCCGAGGUCCUGUGCGAUGCAGUACCACUGCGAGAAGCUGAAGGAUGUGAAGGAUGUGAAGGUGCGGCCUACAUCAAGCUGUUGGCCGAGUGACUCGGUCCAGGGGGUUAGUUAGUGCAUGCAUGAGUUGUUUGCAAGCUAGCUGUGCGUGUGCAUGUUGGCCAGGUCGUGGUGCUGUUAGUGGGCUAGUGCGUGAGUGGUGGUGCUAGUGGUUAGUGCAGAGUUCAGGUCGAGCCCUAUUUAAGAGAUGUACGUAUGUUUGUUUUAGCUAACGAGAAAGAGAGAAA